rnacentral:lncRNA from 1 species
GGAUAUCUAUAUGUGUUAUCCAUAGAAGCAACCUUGAGAAUAACGACGUCACCAUUAUACAUGAUUCUCAAUCAUGUGGUUCAGUCUCUCAUUUGAGUUCGGAUCUUGAUGAGACCUUGAUUCCCAGGCUUGAGCUAUCGCCCCAGUGUUAGUGUCAUACACUUUCUGGUUGGAACCGAAUAGAGAGUUCAUAAAUGAACUUUCCCAUCCAAACAACAUUGUUGUAAACUUCUAUAUGGCAAUAUAUCUUGCAUUCAUAAUGGAACACACUAAAGUCAUUACUUUAAUGUUUCCAUCCAAAUAUCUCUUUAGUCAUAAUAAAGAGAUAUUCGUUUAUCUCUUCAUUCAUAAUGAAGAAACAUCCAAUGAUGGAUUAGAUUCAUAAUCUAAUACAUUUACGCUUCCAUUACGUUACUCUAAUUCUUCCUCGAUCUUUGAGGAAUUUAUCCUUUAGUAUUUCUUAAAUACUUAAGGACUCACUUGACAGUUGCCAUGGUUCUGAUCCUGGGCUUGCACUGAUAUCGUCUUGUACCGUUCUAGGUACAACUCAUAUCAAUGUUUUUCAUACAAUAUGAAAUACAUAAAUCACCUUUCUGCGUAUGCAUAAAGGAUUCUAUUUACGCAUUAUUUCUUUGGGAGUCAAAGGGUACGUUCCCUUUGAGAAGGGCAACUUGCUAGUCUCACUAGAAUCGUCCUUCUUAUUGAAGUUUAUCAUCAUAUGAGAAACUUCCUAGCAUCCAUUGUCUAUUAUUAGGGAUUGAUAUAAUCCAAUUAUAUCAUGAAAUAUAUCAUUAUAGAUUUCCAUCCCAUGUAUAUAGACUAUAUCUCCCAUAUAUACAUUCUAUCUUCAUAUAAUGUAUUAAAGUCAUAACUUUAACGAAGAAGUAUUCUUUUUCAUUUCCAAAAUUAAUAUAUCAUAUAUAUUUAAAUUUUUAGGAACAUGAUUAACUCCCACUAAUCUUUUGUAAACCUAGUAAACAAAAGAUUCAUUUACAUCUUUAUGAGAAAUCAAACGAUUUGAUCCUUUUUCUCAUAAAGAUGCAAAUAGCUCCCACUAGCUUGCUAAGAUCCAUGAUGGAUGGAUCUCUACAACUUACAUGUCUUGUGAUUUAUAGUUUUAGACAUAUAUUAUCAAGACUAUCUUAAUAAUGGUUUCGGAAACCCAUAUUAUGUCCAAACAUUGAAUCACCAUUUAGUUGUAGCUAGCAAUCUUCGAAUUAAUUGAAACUAAGACUACGUCAAAAAUGGUUUCCUUCAAAGUCAACCAUUCUCUUUGAUUGUAGUCACCUUAAGCUACCAAUUAGCUUAUGAAGGUUUCAUUAUUUCGGGUCAAAUGGUACUUUACCAUUUCCUUGAGUAUAUAUCGUAUAUGUACUCAAUGUAGUCAUAAAGUUCAAAACCAUUCAACUGAGACGGUUUAUAAAUCCUUAUCGACUACCUUGGAGCUUGUGGUAUAGGAACUAGGUUGUUAUAUUUGUUGAUUACUUAUCUUGUCUCUCAAAGAACCCAUUCUUUGAGUUUCUAUCUCUCGUUCAUUUGCUUUUAGGCAAAUCACAUUGUAGAGGAUUACAAUGAACUACCCAACAAAACAACAUUUGUUAGUUGGUUUAUAGAAGCGAUAUCCAAAAGUUAAUUUAAGGAUAUCCUACAAGAUUGUUAUCAAACAAAUAUUGCUUAUUAGCACACAACCCCAAAUCUUAACAUGCUUAAGAUUUGUCUUUCUUUCCAACUACAUCUUAUGGAGUCAUGAAAAAUAUUGGAAGAUCUUCUAAUUGACAAUCAUAUUGUUUUAGAAGUAUAUAUCCUAUAUAUGGGUAAUAGAUAACAUCUAACGAACUAAAUCUUAUUCGAGUUCGUUCUUCUCCUAAUGGAGAAAUAUAUUAUCUUAUGAUGCUAUUUUCCUUGAUAUCUUUCAAGGAAACUUAUCUAAAGUGUUACCUUUCCUUGGAUCAAAUCUAAGGAGGUAAAUACUUUAGAUGUCUUACUCAUCAACUUACAUUUACUUGAAUUCUUUGAAACCUUUUGCAAAGUAUUCGGACUUGUGUUUAUUCAAAAUAAACUAUAGUCCAACCGAGAGUGAUCUUCGGUGAAUGUCAUUCAACAUGAGUAGUAUUAUGUUUGUGGACAAGUGCCACUAACAUCUAAGUGAAUUAACCUCAACAACUUUGUGAUUCUUUCUUCUUUCCAAAAGAAUAAAGAUUCGAACAUUUCGCCUCUAUACAAUUUUAACAAGAAGGUAUUGGAUCCGGAUCUAACGAUCCAAAGCAUCCAUUUAUGACCAACUCGUAAUUUAUGUUUUAGAGGUAUCACAACUUUAGUUGGGAUUAGUCACUACCUUGCAACCUUUUGGGUUUUAAGCAUCAUUAUAUUCUAAACAGUUAACACUACCAUAUCAUCUCUACUAUAGAGACAAUCAAUUAGAUUACUAUAAUCCAAUUUCUUUGGUAGUUCAUAUGAGGAAGUAAGUACUAUCUGCUUUCGCAGAGAUCUAUAUCUUAUUCACGUUCCGUAUGUGAAGCACCUUUUUCUUCUCUCAUAUAUCUUCUACUUCUUAUUAGUCACACUUUUACAACGAUUUGUAAAACAUAGUUACUAAUACGGAAUCAUACAUUCAAGUAGAAGAACCAACUGUUUUGAACUAUUCAAGAACAUUUUACAACACCUUCGAAAGGUGUGUUCUUGACACUUGCAAGACAUUUCUUGCAAAUACCCCUUCCAUGUCCAUCUUUUCAUAAAGAAAGUUUGUUCCCUUGGAGUUAUUUAUCUUCUUCAUUUGACUUCUCCUUUGACUACAAUAGUCAUGGUCCCUAAACUCCCACUAUCUCUCUUGAAACCUUUUUUUCAAUUGUGUUAUACACAUCAAACAUUUUGGAGAGCAUGUGGUUUAUUGUUCACUACAUAGUUUACAAUAAGCUUAGUGAACGAUUAGGAUAGGGAAACAAAGGUGAAGUCCUUGCCUAGUUUCCGUCUCGUUAAGUGUUUUAACACUUCAACACUUAAUGAUUCAAAAUCAUCAUAAGUCCAUGUUAAUGGACUAUUUUUGUCAACCAACCAUUAUGUUCUAAACAUAAUUACAAACCUUCAAGAGUUGUACAAGGCAACUCUCAUUUCUUCAUACAACAAUUUGUAAAGUGAAGAAUCAUGGCACAUUAACGUGUCCAUGCCUUUGUGCUUUCUUCUCAAGUUCCUUGUUCAUGUAACAAAGAAACAAGCACUAAGUGUUUGCAUUGACUAAGGGUUGUUCAAAGCAACUCUUAUUUCUUCAUACAACAAUUUGUAAUUGAAGAAUUAUGACAUUUUAAAAGUGUUGUCCUCUUUAUGAUAGACCUUUUCUAACAUAUUCUUCUAAUGAUACAUUAUCAAUAGGAAGAUUGUGAGGAUGAGACUACUUAGGUACAUAUACAAUCCAUUUAAGACAAUUCUUUGGGAUUGUGUACCAAGUCCGGAAACUAAAACAUUCGGUUUUUAUUUGUCAAGUGUUGGAUAGCGUUUGCAAAUAUAUUGGUAAACAAAUACAUAACGAAUAUAAAUUGAUUGAUUUUAAGCCAUUUGAUUCGGGUCUUUAAAUCAAAAUAGCACCACCCACUAUUUUUGGCAAAUUCCAUAUCCCUCAUUGGAAUUCGAGAGUUUUGGAUGAAACUCUUAGUAGGUUAUGGGAGGACUCACUAUUACCAAGCCCACCUCAGAAUGAUAUGAUAUUGGCUAGCAACAAUAAUAAUGAGAGAGUACGCUUACUCAUUUGCAACUAAUGCAAGUACCCAUCUUAUUUGGCCUCUAGAGAAUGAUGCCUCACAAUGAUAUGAUAUUGGCUCCAUUGCACUUAGUUAAGUCAUUCCCACCAUGCUUAGUUCAAGUAGGGGUUCAAGAAUAGCCUCAGAAUGAUAUCCAUAUUGGCCAUCACUCGUUGCCUACCUUUCACUUUCAUCAUGUUUAUAGGCUUCCUCCUGAAUGUAAGCACAUGCACUUUGCAACCCCAUGAACUAGGGUGAAUACGGUGUACGAGUCACAAACGAUUGGAGCCCACCACGGUGGAAGGCCACGAAAGAGUGUUCUAAAGCACUCUCACGCUUAUCAACUUAAUAAUGGUUUGGUUGAGGGUUUUAGGUCUCAUCACAUAUAAAUAUACAUUUUAAUCUCUAUUAAAACAAUUUUGGUCCUAUUACAACUAUUGGUCCAUAUGAUUGUUUUAGUUGUAUAUAAUACUCCCACUAUGCUUUUAAAACGGUUUUUAAAGCAAGAGUAUAUGUUACUACUAACAUAAGGUUUGCAUUCAUUUGAUGGACUAUAUAGUUGCCUUAGGGCCUUAGGAUGACUAUGAACCUUUGUUUAGAUUCAACACGAGCCUUGUGUUGAAUCUCGGUCUAGGGAUGGGAGAUUGAUUUUAGUUACGCGUUUAAUCACAUUAAGGCGUGUUGUCUUAGGGGCGUUGGACCCAACUACUUCAUUUUCAUGCAUAUCAAUAUAAAGCAAGAAAGAAGUACUUCAAAGUAAAGGUGAGCUUAUGCUCAUUACAACAUUUGCAUAUAACAAAUUACUUUAAAGUAAAGAAGAGCUUAAGCCCUUUUACAACAACAUUUGAUCAAAUCAAAUUACAACCAAAAUCUAAUCUACACAUUCCCAUGGUUCAAACAAAUUUGAAACGGCCUUUCACAUAGCUCAAUUAUAUAUUAGGCUUAGGUUCAUAAUCACCCUUUAAUUAAUUAACACUUUAACUAAUUAAAUUGAAUGCAACAUUUUCAUUUGGUUUUUGUAUCCAUAAAAUUGAUUUAAAUGGAGCUAAACAAAAUGAAAAUCCAAUUCUCAUUUAAAGAGACAAAACAAUUUUGUUCUCAAUCCUAAUUUGGGCCAUCAUGCAAUAACCACAACCUUUUGGGCCAUAUUGCGAAAACAUAAACUUUUGGGGUCACUUUGUAAAAACACAAAAGUCCACUACUUCAUGUAAAUACAACUAGAACCCAAAAUUUAAAUAAAUGCAAAAACUUCAUUAAAGGAGCAAAACAAUUUGUCCUUUAGCGUUUUUGGCCUUAACGUAAAAACGUAAACUUUCGGGUCAUAGUACAAAUACACAAAAGUAUCAAAACUUUAUGUAAUUGCAUAAAAGCCCCAAAAAUACCCUAUUUUAAUAGGGUGGCCGGCCAUUUAGGGAUAAAAGGUGUGGUGUGUGUUUUGAUUUAUUAGUUUUGUCAAAAACAAUCAAGUAGUGCUUUCACCUUUCAUAAAAAAUAAUAUAUGUUUUGAUGAUUGAUAUUUCUUUCAUCAUUUAUACAAAUAUGUAACACUUUAAAUACUUUCAUAAAAAUAAUAUAUGUUUUGAUGAUUGAUGUUUCCAUCAUCAUUUAUACAAAUAUUUAACACUUUAAAUACAUGAUAAAUCAUUUGAAAAACAUAUAACAUAAACUUUAUGAAAUAAUCAAAACUUUGAAUCAAAACACAAAACCUUUUAGUUCUUGGCAAGAACAUCAAGAACAAUGAAGAACAUCCAUGAAAACCCAUAAGAGCUCCAUGAAUGUUUUUUCAAGCCAAAAAACUCAAAUUUUGACCAUUCAAAAUGAUGUUAACAUCCUAGGGUACUUAGGGGUUACAAAAGUCACCUUAAAACACUUUUAACAAGACAAACAAUGAACCCAAAAAAUCACCCUUUGGAUUUGGCCGAAAAUCCCCAAAAUCAUGGCACCAAAUUUUAGCUCCAAUAUUCAUGCUCAUAUGAACUACAUCUACAACAUUUGAGAGAUGGCAAAUUUUCAAACAAAAUUUACAUUCAAAGAAAGCAAGAAUAAAGCUUGUAACAAUUACAACUUUUAAAUCAUAAACUUAUGAACUACAAAACCCAAAAGGAUUCACCAACUACUAGACCUAGGCUCUGAUACCACUUGAAGGAUUUAUUUUGAAAAACAUGUUCAUUUGAGCAACAUCAUAUAGCAUGCAAUUAACAAUUAAAGGCGGAAUCAUGCUUGCAUGCACUUCAAAAACAAAACAUUACCAUGAAAUUCAAAGCCUAGUAGAUUGGUGAACCAAUAAUCAACUCAAAACAAAGUGAGUUGAAAUUAUUACCUUUGUAGAUUCCUCUUUGCAUAAGCAAAGGCUAAUCACCCAAAGAGAUAGGGCCUUCAUUCCUUGCUUCUUAGAUCCAUGGAUUUGGAUAGAAAAUAGGUUUCUCCAAGUUCCCAAAAUAGGGAACCUCUAAGUCUCUUCACCAAGGUUUGAUUGUAGAAGAAAUGAGUGACCUUGGAGUAGUAGGAUUGCUAGAUGUACCCUCCAAGGUGUUGGCCUCUUUAGAGAGAAAAUGGAGAGACAAUUCUCACCCAUUUUCACCCAAAAUAAACCCUUAAUCACCUUAAUGAAUAUUUGGCUAUAAAGUCCUUUAUAUAGUCACUUCUUUAAGUGACCUAAACAACCAAAACCCUAAUUCAUCACCAUAUGGCCGGCCACCUAAGGAAUUUUGGGCUUUUGGGCUUUAAUGAAUCUUUAUUCAUUAAAUUGUCAUACAACUUAAGUUAAUGGGCUUGACGUUCGAAGCCCAUUGGGCCUUAAGGUCCAAAACUAUCCCGAGGUCUUUAACGAACUUAUUCGUUUGAUUAAUUAACAUAUUAAUUAAUCCUUGCCAUAAAUAAAUGAUUAAACCAUUUAAUCAUUCUUACUCAUUUCCGUUUAAUCUCCAAUCUCUACCUUUUACGGUGUGCGAUCCAUUAGGUUCCUUUUAGCGAGGUAGUGGGCGAUUAAAAACCAUUUUACAUCGAUUGUGAAUUGAAACUAUUUUCAAUUCUCCCUUUAGUGAUUACACACGUUUAGGGCUUCCACAAACCAUGAGUGACACCUAGCAGCAUAUCAUGGUUACCCAAGCUAAUCAGAAGAGGUGGAGAACCUAUUCAGUUUCGGGAUUACAAAUGCAAUACGGUCCUUCUCUAAUCUAAUACUCUUGACCACAUUGUUUGGUUUGAUAGUUUAUUUACUCAUGUCUACUAUCCAAUGUGAUUCGUUUGCUUAUAUGAUUUCCUUGAAUGUGAUUUGGAACGCAUUCCCCAAUCUCAUUCAUACUCUGGCCAGAGAUUCCAAAUCAUAUCAUAGAGUAUUCUCCCUCAAAUUGUUUGAAGGUUAGAGAUCCCUUGUUGCGCAUUCACUUCUCUCCAUAGCUAAGUGGCUUAACCCCAACGAUGCCGUGGACACCCCGAAGGGGUGACUUUAGACAUAAUCAAAGAUUAAGGACUUAACCACAAGACAACUGUGAUGCCUCAGGUCAAAGGACUACUUUGCAUUAUCCCAACCAUGAGUUCUCAUGUGACAUGGAAUAUAAGAACUCUUCGUUGAUCACGUUCAGUGAACUCAUUCUCUUAUUGAGCACCUACGUACUUGUCUUGAUGUCACACACACCAAUGACUCGAGACUAGUCACUCUCCCUGAGAGAAGACACAGUACGUACUGAUCUUAACGGACUGUCAAUGCCCAAUUGGUAAUCCUAUGAUCAGGAACAUUUAGGAAGUGUCUACGAAAGAAUGGUCUCAUUAAUCUAACUUCAUUAGAUUGCAUUCUCCCAAUCACAUAUUCCUUGGACUUUAUCGUUUAAGCAUAUAACAUUUAUAUGAGACGACUCAAACAAUAAUCUUUGCCCUUUAUAUGUUAAACUAGAUUAGUUUAACAUUUGAAAUGUCCGUAAAGUAUCAUCAUAUGAUUGGUUUUAGGGCACAUUUCCAACAAGAAGAACAUGUGAUCACCUAUAAGAGUGGGUCGUCAAAAACACAAAUAUAUUUUCUUCUAAUGAGGAAAGGGGAUCGUAUAACUUGUAAGGAUUGCAAAGUUAUACCGGGAGAGAGCUUGGCUAAUCAACAUCGCUUGUUGGUGAUGGAUGUACAUAUCAAAAGAGUGAGAAAAAAGAACAAGACUUGGAAGUGCCCAAGGACUAGAUGGUGGAAUCUAAAAGGAGAAAAACAAGCCAUUUUCAUAGAGAAAGUAAUCACCCAGUGUGUGUGGGAUAGAGAAGGGGAAGCUAGCCAAAGGUGGGAUUCCAUGGGUUGUUGUAUCCGGAAAGUAGCAAAAGAGGUAUUAGGAGAGUCCAAGGGCAGGGUAGGAGAUAGAAAUAUUGGGUUGCCAAUAUUUCUAUUCAUUGUUUUUUUAUGUCAUUUUAAAUUUUCCAUUUGUUUUUGUUUUUCUGAAUUUUCUUGCAUGCUAAACUUAAUUAUUUCUUUUCUUUGUAGGAAAAUUUGAUCGUGUCCACCAUUGGAGUUGAUUGCAGAAUUGGAGUUAGGGGGUCAUUGCUUGCUUUUACUGAAAUUUGGGGAAGUUUUGAGUCCAAAUGCUUUGUUUUGUUUCUUAUUAUUUUAUUUUUAUUUUAUGCAUUAUUGUGUUUUCUGACAUUGGGGACAAUGUCCAGUUUAGGUUUGGGGGUAAGGAUUAAAAAAAUGACCAAAUAGAAAAUCCAAAAAAAACCAAAAAAAAAAAAAAACCAUAAAAACAUUCAGAAAAUCCAAAAAUCCAAAAAUAUUGUCUUGUUUUAUUUAUUGUUUUGAAUUAGAUUUUUGUUAGUUUCCCAGCCCAAUGAUAUUAUUGGAUUGAAUUUGAACCACGGGGAUCAAGAACUUAGUAAGCAUGUGUUGUGUGAAAUUCCUUAUUCUCUUGUUAGCCUUGUAUAUGUUUAAUCAUCUUUGAAAAGCCAAAUGCACAUAGGCUUGUUGAUGUGAAAUUAAAGCAUGACUUAAAGCUUCAUAUGUGAACAUAGUGACCAUAUACAGCCUAUGUGAGUUUUUGAGCCUAUUGAAAGUGUGUGCAUUUUUCAUACACUCAUAUUCUUUCAUGUGCGAUGAACUUAUGUGACUUACAUCUCUAGAAUUUGCAUAACGAUUUUUCGAAAUGUUUGUCAUUUGAUUGCAUGAACUUGAAAAGGAUAGAGGCAUUAGGUUUAUCACCAUGGCCCAAAUGAGCAUGUUUCCUGAAGAAAAAUGAUAUCAUUAGAUUGCCAAUUUGAGCCGUAUACGUUGAGCCUUUUAUUUCUUAUCACCUUAUAUGUCUACCCUUAUACCUUACACAUUUUUCCUUUCCCUUUCCAAGCUAGCUAGUGAGCAAUGUGAGAUUGUCUUAUGAGAAAUGUUUUGUGAAGUACUUUGAAGGAGUUUGGAAAAAGAAUAAGUGUGGGGGUAUUUCAUGUUUGUAUUUAGUUACGUGCAUAAUCGUUCAAAAAAAAAAAAAAGAAAAACAAAAGAAAAACAAAAGAAAAAUUGUAUACAAAGCAAAUAAAAAGUUUUUUUUUUUCUUCUAAGUUUCAGUUUAGGGGUGUGGUUGGAGGUAUUAGUAGAGUGGUUGGAGAGCUUGAGUUCUUAUAAAUCUCAACAAGAGAAUUGCUUGCAAUGUAGCUUGGAACUUGUGUUUACCUAUCCUUUCAUUUCAAUAACCCUCUUCCAAAGCCUCAUUACAUCCUAUAAAAGUCCUCUUGAUUUAAGUUUUGCAAUUAUGAUUGUGGAGAUGAGAUCUUUAUGCAAGCUUAUGGUAGAUCUUUCACAUUUGAUUCUUUGAGCGAAACACGUUAAACUAAACAUAUGUGUGAUUGAGUGUAUGUCCCGUGAGAAGGUCACUAGUUUGCAUGUGGUGUUUUAAAAAAAACUUGAAAUUGCAUUAGCAUGGCUAUUACACACACUACACUUCAAGGAUGAUUAAAAGGUUACUGCUAACAUUUGAAUAAGGAAGAUGAGCUUGGAUUAGCUUGUUUGGUGCUAGCUAAGGUUCUCGAUGAUUUGUUUUCUUGAAUGAAAUUCUAUGAGGUCACAUAGGGGGAAGCUAAUGUUUUUCAUGUUUUCUUUGUUUUGCUUGAGGACUAGCAAAAGCUAAGUGUGGGGGUAUUUGAUAAGCUCAGAUUUAUAUAUAUUUUACAUCAAAUUCACUUGUCUUUUCUUAGUUAGUUCCUUAUAUUUUUGAGCUAUUUACUUUGUUUUUUGUGUUUUGUGGGAUUUGUCAAGCAAAGAAAAGAAAAAUAGCACAAGUGAGAUUUUAAGUAACAAAUUCGUUAAAACUGCCUGUGCAGAUCAGCUGACUUUGGAGGCAAGUUUCGAACAUCUCAUAAUGAAUUAGAGAAUGAGCUUUAUAUUGGAAAGCUACAGAUGUCUAUUUUCUGGAGCAAAUUGCAGAUUAUUAAUAUCAUUUUGUCUAGAAGAAGUUAUGGCCAUUUUAACACUGAAAGGUUACCAAGAGGCUGAGCAGUUUGUAACUGAAAAGACUGCAAUGAAAGCAAUAAAUCCAAUAAAUCUAGCAACCAAAACUGAUGCAGCCAAGAACAAGUCAGCUAACACCUAUUCAAAUAUUAGAGGAAAUGGAAAUAGAGAUGAGAAUUAAGUGGGAGUAAUGGGCAUAAAGGCUACCUAAAGAGUUACAAUUGUUUUACCAUUUCCUCUCACUUAUUGUCAUCACAAAAUGGCUGCUAGUGGGGUGAGUUAUGGAGAAGAAACCUAGGGUAGCAAGCAAGAACAAAAAGGCUGCAGGUUGCAGCGGCAAAGAGGGGAGAAAAAAAAUAGAAUAGAAGGAAAAGGCAAGGCAGCAAUGUUAGGGAAGGAAGGAAAGGAAGGAGGAAAUCUUGGCAUUCUCUUCUUUCGGUCUUAUCUUCUCAAACUCAUGUCUUUCUUUUGGUUUUAUUUGAUAAUAAUGUCUAACUAAAUUUUUAUUAGUUAGGGGAUGUUUUGAAGCCCCAAAUGUGAUUGCAAGUUUGUUAUGACAUUUCGUUUGAAUUACUUUUAUGAAUGGAUGAAAAUUGGUUCACUACUUGUCUCAUUGAUGAAUAUUUUUUCUAUGGAUGCAUACUUAGUAAGCAUAUCUAGGAUUCUAACGCUAUGAAUAUGUGUGUGCCUGCCCUUGUCAAAUGAGGACCUACAUAUGUUCUAGAGUAGUACUUGUUAAUUGCGAUUAACAUGUGAACCAACGCUAGUACGUACGAUGCCUUGUGUUGACUAAAACUCUUUUUGUUCUUAAUGAUUUCUACGUGUCAAAUCUAUGAACACGCCAUUCUAGAUUGCAUGCUAGGAACUAAGUUAAGUUGAAAACGCCAUUCUCUUAAUAUACUACAUAAGAAAGAGUAAUAGCUUGAGUUCUAACAUUGAGCCAACUUGAGCAUCUUCGUUCGGAAAUAAAAUGAAUUUGAAUGAAACAUAACAUGUCUGCAUCAUUAUUUGGUGGUGGAUAGGAAUUCCCCUAACUCGUUUUUCUUAAUUUGUGAACUACUUAAAAUUUGUUUCUGUCCUGUUUUUCUUCACUUUAAUUUAAAUAGCAAAUCAACUCCAAAAAUCCCAAAACAUUGUGUAAGUGUAGCCCUGUGUCUCUAGUGUUUCCAUAUAAAAUUUCAUAGACUUUAGAUAAGCGUAAGUCAGUCUAAUAAUUAAUUUUCGGUGGCUGGUCAGUAGGGACAUCAGUCCAGUUUUUGUGACAUUUUAAGUAGUUAGAUAAAACAAUCUUCUGCAGGAAAGACCCUUAUUUUCAUAUGCUACAAUUGACAAAUCUUAGCUUUGAUAAAAAAAAUCAAUAGGACAUUUGUGUGCUACUUUGUACUGUGCUUUUAAUCCGAUCCACAAUGCCCCAAAUUAAUUGUGAACAACACUAAUUAACUCUCAAAUUUUCCUAAGUUCAUUGAAUUGGACUCUGCAUGAUAGAGAUACAUCUCAAAGAUCAUUAAGUUCUAUGAAAAUCAUAAGCAUUGACAAAGCAUUCGUAACUAUGAAAUGCAUGAUACUCCUGCCAAGAAUUUACUUAACUCAAUCACGACUAGGUGAAAUUUGCGGCAACAAUGUGUAUAUAUAUAGGGCAAAGGGCAUGGCUAAACCGUAGGGAGAAUUCACUCAAUUCCUCACCGGAUAUACUCUAUAUUUUCACACAGAUUUUCUGAGGACACUCCCUAUACUAAGUAUAUGUGAGAAGAUUGAUGUAAACAUGUAGACUAGCACUCACAUGUGUUAUAACAAAGAAGACACUUUCUGGAAUUAUUAAUACAAACAUGUAUAUGAUCUCAUGAACAGAAUGCCACUACUUAGAAGUGAGAACCAGGGAUUCCAUAUGUUCGUACCAAUUUCAAACUCCACAUAUUGAAUCACAUAACAAUCAAGAUAAAAGUGUAAGGGUUGUAAUGGGGCUAAAGUAUUGGCUAACAAAGAAAGGUUAAGGAUAAACAAAGGUUCUUAACGUGAUAAUAAGCAAAGUAAUGAAAUCAAUACUUAGAAUUCAACUUUUGAUUGCAGCACCCAACUUUAAACAAAAAGAGGAGAUUCGUACAACUUUAGGGUCAAAUUCCUAUUUUUGGACCCUUCUUCAACAACCAAAAUUUAUGAACUCAUUUUCAACUUUUUUUUCUUCCUCUUUUUUUUCUUUUCUCAACUUUUUUUUUUUUUUUUUUUUUUUUUCUGUUUCUAUUUCAACGUUUUUUUUUUGAAACAUAAAACAUAAGCACUACUUCACCGGAUUCAAAAGAACAAAUCUUUCCCCCACACUUGUUUUUCUGCAAAUUGUAGAUCAUAAGGAAUUCCCAACAAGUCAUGCUGCACUAUUCUUUAAGAACAAGGGUAUGGAUAUUCCUAUACAAGGCUAGGUAGGGAUAAUGCAGCCUAACAAAGAAAAUAGGCUAAAUAAGGCUCAAAGGGGUUAAACCUACAAUACAUAAGCAAGGGAUAAGGCUUUUUGGCUCAGGUGGUAACUAAACAACUUCAUCUUGUUAUUUGUUAUGCAAUCAAUUUUAUGCUUUGAAUGAAACGGGCAUAAGUUCUAGUAUUAGGAACUAAAAUGAUGAAAAAGCAUUAUAAGUAGCAACCAAGCAAAUAAAUAAUAAGAUCAUGCAACGACUUUAUAAAACAAGAAUAUCACAGAUUAAUAACUCUCCAAACAAAGAAUAAGCUCAAGUCUCACAGUGUUGUAGCGUUAGUUUGAGUUUCUUCCUUCAAGCAUGUUAUAAAAGCUGAUUUUUUUUUUCUCUUUGUGAUUACAUGUGAAUUUGUAAAUGAUAACUACAACUAAGUAUUAACCAAAGAGCAUAUCAAACUUCUACCCAUGUUUGUAACUUUCUUUAACAGUCAUGUAAUUAAAAACCAAAUCCUCAUCAUUGUGUUGGAAGGUACCCCAAGACACAAAAAAAAAAAAAAAAAAAAUACUCUUUUUGGUAUUUUCUCAAAAAUUUUCAAAUUUUUUUUUUGUUUCCAAUUUUUUUUUUAUGAUACACAAUAAAACACUUUAAAACAGUGAAUAACAACAUUAGUAGUGAUAGGUGGUGAAAUUCGUAGAGAAAUCAUGACAAGCAUUAUGUUUACCCCCCUCCCCCACACUCAAACCAAACAUUGUCCUCAAUGUUUCAAAAAUAAACUUAAACAGAAAAGCAAUAUAAAGAUAACUAGCAAACAAGACAAUCAUGGCAAAGUAAAAACAACAAAGAGAAGGGUAAAAGAGAGCAAAUCUAGUUGCAGGAGCUAGAAAUUCCAUGGUCUCUUUAUUUGAACACAUGGGUUGCCCCCUAAGAAGUGCUUGCUUUAACGUCUUCCAGCCAGACGGUACCUCCAUUUAAGCUCACUAGGACCAACGGCAUGGAGAGGUACAUCCUCCACGACAUGCUCCUCAAAACACUUAUAGUAAGGCUUCAAACGGUGUCCAUUCACUUUGAAUUCUUGUCCCUUCUUUAAACUUUGAAUUUGGACUACACCAUAGGGAAAGACAUUAGUAACAACAAAAGGACCAAUCCAUUUAGAAUGCAACUUAACUGGAAACAAUCGAAGGCUGGAAUUGAAGAGUAACACUUUUUGCCCUACAGAAAAUGUCUUACUACGGAUCAUCUUAUCAUGGACAACCUUUGUUUUCUCCUUGUAAAUAUGAGCGUUCUCAUAAGCCUCAUUCUGAAUUUCCUUAAGCUCUUUUAAUUGUAACUUUCUGUGAAGACCAGCAGCAUCAAUGUCCAUGUUGAAAGUCUUGACUGCCCAAUGUGCACGAUGCUCUAACUCAAUUGGAAGGUGACAUGGCUUCCCAUAAAUGAGACAAAAAGGAGACAUUCCAUUUGGUGUUUUGUAGGUAGUACGAUAUGCCCACAAUGCAUCAUUCAAACGCAAGCUCCAAUCCUUUCGAGUUGGUCCAACUGUCUUUUCCAAGAUUUGCUUGAUUUCCUGGUUAGAAACUUUGGCUUGCCCACUUGUUUGAGGAUGAUAAGGUGUCGAAACCUUAUGUGUGACAUUGUACUUUUUGAGCACCCUCAUCACUUAUAAUUACUCGCGGCAUUCCAAACUUGGCAAAUAUGUUAGUUUUGAAAAAAUCUGCAACCACUUUGGAAUCAUUAGUACAUGUGGCUUUUGCUUCCACCCAUUUCGAAACAUAAUCUACAACAAGUAAAAUAUAAUUGAAACCAUGAGAGGAAGGAAACGGACCCAUGAAGUCAAUGCCCCAAACAUAAAAAAUCUCAAUAAAGAAUAUAGGAGUUUGCGGCAUUUGGUCUCUUGAACCUAUAUUGCCUAUUCUUUGACAAUGAUCACAUGUCAUGCAAAAGAUUCUAGCAUCCUUAAAUAUAGUAGGCCAAUAAAAUCCACAUUCUAAAACUUUAAGUGUUGUUCUUUGAGUACCAAAAUGACCUCCAUAAGCAUAAGUGUGACAAAAAGUUAAAAUUUAAUUGAAUUCAGAAUCAUGCACACCUAUGAAUAAUUUGAUCAGGGCAAUAUUUCCACAAAUAAGCUUCAUCCCACACAUAAAAACAUGCCUCUGUUUUUUAGUUUAUCACAUUGGUGCCUAUUUAUGGUGUUUGUAACUUGUUUAGACACAAUAUAAUUCACAAUAUCAGCAUACCAUGGCUCACUUACCUUAAUGGUCAGCAGUUGUUCAUCUGGGAAUGCCUCUGGAAUAGGUAGAGGGUCUUCUUCAUGUACCAAACGACUCAAAUGGUCAGCUACUACAUUCUCACUUCCUUUUUUGUCUCGAAUUUCGACGUUAAACUCUUGGAGAAGAAGCAUCUAGCGAAUAAGCCUUGGCUUGGCUUCUUUCUUUGUGAAUAAGUACUUCAAAGCUACAUGGUCAGAGUAGAUUAUAACUCUAGUUCCAAGUAAAUAAGAAUGAAACUUAUCUAAAGCAAACACAAUAGCAACGAGUUCUUUUUCAGUGGUGGAGUAAUUCAAUUGAGCAUCAUUCAAGGUCCGAGAAGCGUCGUAGAUGACAUGCGACUUCUUGUCCUUUCUUUGUCCCAAAACAGCCCCUAAAGCGUAAUCUGAAGCAUCGCACAUAAGCUCAAAAGGAAGACUCCAAUUUGGUGGAACAAUGAUAGGUGCCGAAGUUAGCAUCUUUUUGAGGUGAUUGAAUGCCUUCACACAUUCUUCAUAAAAAACAAACGGCACAUCCUUUUGUAGAAGUCGGCACAAGGGUGUUGAAAUCUUUAAGAAAUCUUUGAUAAAACAUCUAUAGAAUCCUGCAUGUCCAAGGAAAGAACGAACCUCUAUCACCAAAGAGGGAGAGGGUAAGUACCGUACAAGAUCAAUUUUAGAUUUAACCAUUUCAAUUCCCUUUUCUGAAACUAUAUGACCUAAAACUAUGCCUUGUUUUACCAUGAAGUGACAUUUUCCGCAAUUGAAAACAAGGUUAGUUUUGAUGUAACAUUUCAAUAUCAAAGUGAGAUUAGUUAGACAAUCAUCAAAAGAGUAACCAAAGGCACUAAAAUCAUCCAUCAAAACUUCAAUAAUCUUUUCGACAAAAUCGGAAAAAAUACUUACCAUGCAUCUUUGAAAUGUGGAUGGUGCAUUACGUAAACCAAAUGGCAUUCGACGAUAAGCAAAAGUACCAAAUGGACAAGUAAAAGUAGUCUUUUCUUGAUCAUAUGGAGCUAUAACAAUCUGAUUAUAUCCCGAAUAACCAUCAAGAAUGCAAUAAAAAGAAUGACCAGCUAACCUUUCAAGCAUUUGAUCAAUGAAUGGUAGAGGAAUAUGGUAUUUCCUUGUGGUGGUGUUGGGCUUCCUAUAGUCAAUAGAAAAUGUCCAACCUGUUUGGAUACGAGUGGGCAUAAGUUCAUUCUCUACAUUCUUUACCACAGUGACUCCAAAUUUCUUUGGUACUACUUGAACCGGUGAAACCCAACGACUAUCUGAAAUUGGAUAAAUGACUCCACAAUCAAGAAGCUUGAUGAGCUCCUUUUUCACAACUUCCAUCAUUGCAGGGUUGAGUCGGUGUUAGGCCUCUCGAGUUGGUUUAGCCCCCUCCUUUAGAAGUAUGUGAUGCAUGCAGGUUGUAGGACUUAUUCCCCUAAUGUUGGCCAAAGUCCAUCCAAUGGUUGUUUUGUACUCUUUCAACACCCUAACCAGUUUCUCGUCCUCUAAUGCCGUGAGCGUUGAAGUGACUAUGACUGGCAAAGUCUCUUUGUCUCGCAAGAAAAUAUACUUCAAAUGAUUCGGUACCAGUUUAAGCUCAAGAGAGGGUGCCUGAAUCACUGAAGUUAACAACUUAUUAGUAGAAAUGGAAAUUGGACUUGGGAUUGGAGGCUUACCAAUAUGUUGUGGCAAAGACUCAAGGGCAACCACCAUCUCUACAAUUUCUGCAUAAUUAGGCUUGGUCAUAUUGAUUUUGAGUCCAAUUCCUUCAACAAUGGUUUUUUUCAAGGGCAUCCCUAUUUAAGAAUUAAAGAUAUUCAUGCGCCCAAGAAUCAAAUACAUCCAUAGAAAAAUAAGAAUGAUCAUCAAUAGGAUACGUUAUAGCUUCAGAAAUAUUAAAGUCAAUGACAUCGCCAUCAAAUUCCAUUGUUAACGUCCCCUUGAACACAUCUAUCUUGGUUUGGGCUGUUUUUAUGAAAGGUUUUCCAAGCAAGAUUGGCAAUGGUGUAGAAUGGGCCAAAUCUUCCAUCUCAAGCACAUUAAAAUCUGCUGGAAAGAUCAAGUGGUUAACCUACACCAAAACAUCUUCCAAAACUCCUUUCGGAUAUGCAUUAGAAUGAUCAGCUAAUUGAAUAAUAACACCAUUGUUUUUAAGCUCUCCAAGAUUCAUAAAUGCAUAGAUCGAGUAAGGCAUGACAUUAAUGGAAACACCUAAAUCUAACAUAGCAUGUUCAAGCUUGGUAUUACUAAUAACACAAGGGAUUGUGAAACUACGUGGAUCUUUGCAUUUAGGUGGCGGUUUUCUUUGCAACGCUGCAGAGACAUUUUCACUUACCCGUACCACUUCCUUUCCUGAGAUUCGUCUCCUUGUUGUACAAAGCUCUUUAAAAAAUUUAGCAUGCUUUGGAACUUGCUUUAUUGCAUCAAGAAGUGGGAUAUUGACUUGUACCUUCCUGAAGGUUUCUAAGAUGUCUUUUUCAUUCUUUUCUUUCUUAGAUUGCAUAAACUUGUGAGGGAAAGGCACAGUUGGUGGAAUAGGGUUAGUAAGAAUUGAAUUUGAACCCACCUUACCUAAAUUGGGUGGCUUAGGAGCCUUAAAAGGUUGCGGCAAAGACUGUUCUUCUCUUGCCGUGGCCUUGUCCUCCUCUUAUUCUUCGGGCAUAGUUUUUGUUGGCAUUGGUUUAGCCACUUCUCAAUGGUUGAACUAGGUAGUUUGCCUUCUCAAAUUUUUGCCAUCUGCCCAAUUUGAUUCUUCACUUUGUCUUUGAUUUGAUUUUGUUUCAAAGCAGUUAUUGGAAUCCAUUGACACAUAUGUUUUUGAUAGAGCCCAGGAGUGGCUGUCUAUAUUCAUGUUGAGUGUGUUGAGUGUGUUGAGGCUCCCUCCACUUCAUAUUUGGAUGAUCUCUCUAGGCCGGAUUAUAGGCGUUGGAAAACGGGUCAUUCCUUGGUUGACUUUGGCCUUGAUAACCUAUGGCAUUGGUCUCUAUUAAUUGAGGACAUUGAUCAGUAAGGUGUCCUUGCAUGCAUCACGCCAUCACUUUGGACAACCAUUUGAGCCAUUUGAGAUUGAAGUUCUGAAAUAGCACUUACCUCAUUGACUUGGAUUGGGCGUGCAUGCUUUCUUUCUCCAACUCCGUCAUAUUGUUGUGCAUUCAAGGCUCGAUUUACCAUUAAGAUCUUCGUAGCAAUGGUGUUUUGUCAACCAAAGCACCUCCUGCUGAAGCAUCAAGCAUUUGUCUCUCAAGUGGAAGUAGUCAUUCAUAGAAAUAUUGAAUUAAAAGCUCUUCCUUCAUUUGAUGUUAUGGACAAGAUGCAACUAAAGUCUUGAAACGCUCAUAAUACGUUGGAAAGGAUUCUCCUGGGCCUUGCUGAAUGACUCUUGAACUUGGGAAGAAUUUCUCUAGAAAUGCUUUCUAAGAAGUGAAUUUUCAAAGAGAGUUUAGACUAUGGAAAAGAAAUUGUGUCAUGCUCGAGAAGAUGCUUGUUUGAAUCUUCCAUGGUAUUUCGGAAUGUGAUGCAGCAAACUAGACUUCAAUUCAAAUCAUGUUGUUUUUGAAUAGAACAAUAUUGUCUAAUCUCGAGGCUGAAAUUCGGAUUGUUGCUUGUUCCUCUUCCGAUUCUGUUUUAGUUCAGCUUCAAAUUCGGAUUCGGAACUAGAACAUGGCUGAUUCUGUUCGUUCAAAAUAGUCGUCAAAUUCUAAUAUAUUCUCACAAACAGGUUGAGAUCUUUGAGAAUGAAGCUAAAUCAGAAACACAAGAAAAGACACGAACAUAAACAAAGGGGAAGAUUAGCAAUUUUGCUAAUCCCCGGCAACGACGCCAAAAUUUGAUGUGGUAGAAACUAACACACAAAUUAAACCCUAUAAAUUAUGCAAUCGUAGUAUGAGUAAGUAGGGAUCGUUCUAUUCCGGGGAUUAGAAGGGAUGCUAAUCAACACAAAUUAAACUUAUAAAACUGAAAACUAAGUUAAACUAACAUCAAAACAAUGAGGGGGGAGAUUUUGGUCGAAUUUAAUUAAAACAGUAAAUGGCAGCAAAUAAAUUAAGUUGUGAAUGAAAUAUGGGUGAGAGGAUAGCUAGAGGAUUCUUCUCCACACAUGAAACAUAUGCAUACAAAUCGAUUUCCAGUUAUUCUUCCUAUAGACCAUGAAUGCCAAUGCCCAAAAUUCAUUGAAUUGGACUCAGCGAUGCUACCAAAUUAUUCAACUUGAGUUCCCUAACUAUGAAAACAUGUUCAUUUAAGCAACAUCUGUAAGCAUGCAAUUAACAAUUAAAGGCGGAAUCAUGCUUGCAUGCACUUAAAAACAAAACAUUAACCAUGAAAUUCAAAGCCUAGUAGAUUGGUGAAUGAUCGGAUCAUAUUUAUAUAUAUUUUUACUUCAAAUUCACUCGUCUUUUCUUAGUUAGUUCCUUAUAUUUUUGAGCUAUUUACAUUAUUUUUGUGUUUAUAGGAUUUGUUAUGCAAAGAAAAUAAAAAUGGCACAAAUGAGUUUAAAUAAUAAAUUCGUCGAAAAUUGCUUUAGUCAUUCUCAUUCUAUCAUGGGUUAUUGGUAGAAUUAUGUCACGGAUUAUAGGCCAAUUCAUGAUAAUUAAUUAUUUCUUUCAUGUUUCAGGUGGGAUGUAGGGAUGCCGAGUUUGGUGAAAACUAGUGGGGAGAAGAUUAAUAAUAAGCUGUGCUUGGCAGCGUGGAAGAAAGAAAUAUAUAAUAGAAGCUGCCUUUGCAGCUAGUGGGAGCACAAAGAAAAAGAAAAGAAUAAAGGAAAGGUGUGUGUGCAGCGUGACAAAGAAAACGAAUGAGGAAUAAUAGCUGCUUGUGCAACGUGGUAGGUGGAGGAAACUAAAAUAAGAAAGUGGCCACGAUUCAAUCCGGAGGAAAAAAAGCUGCUUAGUGCAGCGGAAAAGAAAAAUAAAUAAAACGCUGCCUGCGCAGCACAAGUGGGAGCUUGGGGAAGAACGCUGCCCUUUGGCAGCGAGGUCAGAGAGAAGAAGCCAAGUCCACGGAACGCAGGGGUCUGGGAGCGGGAGAAAGGGGCUGCCCUUUGGGCAGCUCGCAGAGACGCAGGAAGGAGAGAAGCUCGCAGAGAGCGCAGGAGGCGCAGAAAAGACGCGGGAGUGAGAGGCGAGGAAAUAAGGCAAGCAUGGGCACGAACGCAGCAGAUCCUCUUUCGGUUUAAUUUUUCCAAACUUCUCUUUUAUUUCUGUUUUUAAUAAUGUGUAAUUAAAUUUAUUUUGGCUAGAGGUUAAUUCAAAGCCAUGAAUAUAUUUGUAAUAUGAAUUGAUUACCUUCAGUUGUGAUUUCUGAGUUGUGAUUUAAUUUGCUUAACUGCUUGAUUGAUAACUUAUUUUUGUAUGUCGAUUAAGGAUGCAUACUUAAUUUACAUGCAUGAAUUUGAUGCUAGAAUAUAAGUGAAUUUCACCUAAUCGUUAUGAACUUAUAUUCACAAGUAGUGAAGGUUGCUAGUCACAAUCGGGUUAAGUAAAUUCUUGGCAUAAGUUUCAUGCAAAUCAUAGUAACGAGUGUCUCGUCAAUGCUUAUGUUUUUCAUAGAACUUAAUGAUUCUUGCUUGUAUCUCUAUUAUGCAAUUCAUGUAGGGAACUUGUAGGGAAUGUUUUGGGUUGUCGUAUGCAAUCAUCCAACCCAAUAACUUGUGGAAAAACUGAGGGUUAAAAAAAGUGUUGUUCACGGUUAAUCUGGAGUAUUGAAAUUCACAAUUUAUUGAAAGAACAACUGAAAAUCAAUUUAGGUUGCAUAUGUGUCAUGUGUAGAGAAAAACCCUCUAGCUAGUCUGUCAUUUAUCAUGUUACCUUAAUUUUAUGUUUUUGUCAAUUCUGAAAUUUAAUUAAGUUUAAUUUACUUUUCAUCAAAACCAAACACCCAUCCAUUAUUAAAUUAUAUUAUUUAGUUAGUUUUCUUUAUUGUUAGUCUUUUAAUUUAAUUUCCGUCCAUUUCAGUUCCUAGUGUUUAAUUUGAUUGUUUUCAUUAUUUUGAGUCAUUUUAAGUGUGUUUCGAGUUAUUAGAGUUUUUAGCCUAGUUUUGUGUCCUUGAGUCUUAUUUAAUAUUUUUAAAUUAAUUUAGAAUAGAUUAGCAAUCCCUCCUAAUCCCCGGCCUAGAACGAUACCCUACUUACAUAUAUACUACAAUUGUCAAAAGAGGGUUUAAUUUGUGUGCUUAAUAAUAUUUCGCAUCAGUGAACCAAAACUCAACUCAAAACAAAGUGAGUUGAAAUUGUACCUUUGUAGAUUCCUCUUUGCAUAAGCAAAGGCUAAUCACCCAAAGAGAGGGCCUUCAUUCCUUGCAUAAUAAAUCUAUGGAUUUGGAUAGAUGAAUAGGUUUCUCCAAGUUCCCAAAAUAGGGAACCUCUAAGUCUCUUCACCAAGGAGAGAUUGGAGAAGAAAUGAGUGACCUCGGAGUAGUGGGGGUGCAUCUUAGGGAACCUCUAAGUCUCUUCACCAAGGAGAGAUUGGAGAAGAAAUGAGUGACCUUGGAGUAGUGGGAUUGCAAGAUGCACCCCCAAGUUGGCCGGCCUCUUUAGAGAGAAAUGGAGAGACAUGUUCUCUCCAAUUUUCUCCAAAACAAACCCUAAUGAAUUUUAGGCUAUAAAGUCAUAUUUAUACCUUUAUUCAUUUGAGUGGCAAACUUGUAAAUAAGUCCAAGUUCACUACCCUUAGCAUCAUGGCCGGCCCUAGGGUAUUUUUGGGCUAAUUAGGCCUUUGUGAAUCAUUAUUCAUUAAGUUGUCAUACAACUUAAGUCAAUGGGCUUGACAUUCGAAGCCCAUUGGGCCUUAAUGUCCAAAACUAUCCCGAGGUCUUUAACGAACUUAUUCGUUUGAUUAAUUAACAUAUUAAUUAAUCCUUGCAAUAAAUAAAUGAUUAAACCAUUUAAUCAUUCUUACUCAUCUCCAUUGUUUCUUCAAUCUCCACCUUACACGGUGUGCGAUCCAUUAGGUUCCUUUUAGCGAGGCAAUGGGCGAUUAAAACCAUUUUAUAUCGAUUGUGAAUUGAAACUUACUUUCAAUUCUCCCUUUAGUGAUUACACACGUUUAGGGCUUCCACAAACCAUGAGUGACACCUUGCAGCAUAUCAUGGUUACCCAAGCUAAUCAGAAGAGGUAGAGAAAACCUAUUCAGUUUGGGAUUACAAAUGCAAUACGGUCUUUCUCUAAUACAAUACUCUUGACCACAUUGUUUGGUUUGAUAGUUUAUUUAUUCAUGUCUACUAUCCAAUGUGAUUCGUGUGCUUAUAUGAUUACCUUGAAUGUGAUUUAGACCGACUUUUCUAAAUCUCAUUCAUACUCUGGCCAGAGAUUCUAAAUCAUAUCAUAGAGUAUUCUCCCUCAAACAGUUUGAAGGUUAGAGAUCCCUUGUUGUGCAUUCACUUGCCUCCAUGGCUAAGUGGCUUAACCCCAACGAUGCCAUGAACACCCCGAUGGGGUGACUUUGACAUAAUCAAAGAUCAAGGACUUAACCACAAGACAACUGUGAUGCCUCAGGUCAAAGGACUACUUUGCAUUAUCCCAACCAUGAGUUCUCAUGUGACAUGAGUAUGAGAACUCUUCGUUGAUCGCGUUCAGUGAACUCAUUCUCUACUGAGCACCUACGUACUUGUCUUGAUGUCACACACACCAAUGACUCGAGACUAGUCACUCUCCCUGAGAGAAGACAUAGCACGUACCGAUCUUGACGGACUGUCAAUGCCCAAUUGGCAAUCCUAUGAUCAGGAACAUUUAGGAUGUGUCUACGAAAGAAUGGUCUCAUGAAUCUAACUUCAUUAGAUUGCAUUCUCGCAAUCACAUAUUCCUUGGACUUUAUCGUUUAAGCAUAUAACAUUUAUAUGAGACGGCUCAAACAAUAAUCUUUGCCCUUUAUAUUAAACUAGAUUAGUUUAACAUGUGAAAUGUCCGUAAAGUAUCAUCACAUGAUUGGUUUUAGGGCACAUUUCCAACAAUCUCCCACUUGCACUAGAGCCAAUCAGCUUGGUCAUCAGUGAUGAUACCUCUUCUGUAGUCAUUUCAUAAAUGGAUGAAUAGUAGGCCUAGACAAUGGAUAUCUAUAUGUUAUCCAUAGAAGCAACCUUGAGAAUAACGACAUCACCAUUAUACAUGAUUCUCAAUCAUGUGGUUCAGUCUCUCAUAUGAGUUCGGACCUUGAUGAGACCUUGAUUCCCUGGCUUGAGCUAUCGCCCCAUUAGUGUCAUAGUGUCAGUACACUAGAUACACUUUCUGUUUGGAACCGAAUAGAGAGUUCAUAAAUGAAGUUUCCCAUCCA